UAGGGAAUCUUCGGCAAUGGACGAAAGUCUGACCGAGCAACGCCGCGUGAGUGAAGAAGGUUUUCGGAUCGUAAAACUCUGUUGUUAGAGAAGAACAAGGACGUUAGUAACUGAACGUCCCCUGACGGUAUCUAACCAGAAAGCCACGGCUAACUACGUGCCAGCAGCCGCGGUAAUACGUAGGUGGCAAGCGUUGUCCGGAUUUAUUGGGCGUAAAGCGAGCGCAGGCGGUUUCUUAAGUCUGAUGUGAAAGCCCCCGGCUCAACCGGGGAGGGUCAUUGGAAACUGGGAGACUUGAGUGCAGAAGAGGAGAGUGGAAUUCCAUGUGUAGCGGUGAAAUGCGUAGAUGUAUGGAGGCACACCAGUGGCGAAGGCGGCUCUCUGGUCUGUAACUGACGCUGGGGCUCGAAAGCGUGGGGAGCAAACAGG
rnacentral:rRNA from 1 species